AUUGAACGCUGGCGGCAUGCCUUACACAUGCAAGUCGAACGGCAGCACGGGUGCUUGCACCUGGUGGCGGGUGGCGAAUGGGUGAGUAAUACAUCGGAACGUACCUUAUCGUGGGGGAUAACGCAGCGAAAGCUGUGCUAAUACCGCAUACGCCCUGAGGGGGAAAGCGGGGGAUCGCAAGACCUCGCGCGAUUAGAGCGGCCGAUGCCUGAUUAGCUUGUUGGUGGGGUAAAAGCCCACCAAGGCGACGAUCAGUAGCUGGUCUGAGAGGACGAUCAGCCACACUGGGACUGAGACACGGCCCAGACUCCUACGGGAGGCAGCAGUGGGGAAUUUUGGACAAUGGGGGCAACCCUGAUCCAGCAAUGCCGCGUGAGUGAAGAAUGCCUUCGGGUUGUAAAGCUCUUUUGUCAGGGAAGAAACACCGGCUCUAACACAGUCCGGGAAUGACGGUACCUGAAGAAUAAGCACCGGCUAACUACGUGCCAGCAGCCGCCGUAA
rnacentral:rRNA from 1 species